rnacentral:rRNA from 1 species
AUUGAACGCUGGCGGCAGGCCUAACACAUGCAAGUCGAGCGGUUGAAGGGAGCUUGCUCCCUGAUUCAGCGGCGGACGGGUGAGUAAUGCCUAGGAAUCUGCCUAUUAGUGGGGGACAACGUUUCGAAAGGAACGCUAAUACCGCAUACGUCCUACGGGAGAAAGCAGGGGACCUUCGGGCCUUGCGCUAAUAGAUGAGCCUAGGUCGGAUUAGCUUGUUGGUGAGGUAAUGGCUCACCAAGGCGACGAUCCGUAACUGGUCUGAGAGGAUGAUCAGUCACACCGGAACUGAGACACGGUCCAGAUUCCUACGGGAGGCAGCAGUGGGGAAUAUUGGACAAUGGGCGAAAGCCUGAUCCAGCCAUGCCGCGUGUGUGAAGAAGGUCUUCGGAUUGCAAAGCACUUUAAGUUGGGAGGAAGGGUUGUAGAUUAAUACUCUGCAAUUUUGACGUUACCGACAGAAUAAGCACCGGCUAACUACGUGCCAGCCGCCGCCGUAACAC